rnacentral:lncRNA from 1 species
UUCUGUCAAUCAAACAUCAAGUUACAGUAUCCGUGUCCUUAUAGUGACGAAUAAUACCCAAGAUGCAAUAUGAAACAAUUAGCUUGCUACUAAGUUAAUAUACAUAAACAACAUUAACUCUAUAUUUGACUACAUACUCUAUCUAAGGAAAGGAGAUGGUCUGAAACUGGCCAUUAUUUAUUGCUCUAGGUUUAAGUUGUUAUCGUGAUCAAUUCAGUAUAGCUAGUACUACCAAGCAUUUAGCAAUGAAACAAUAACGUAAUCUGUCGCGUUUCACGUUUAAUAACAAUAGAACCCCUAAAUAAUGUUACACUGUAAAACAUUAAAACAAAAACACUUAUUAGCGUUGUUAUACUUUGAUAAUUUUACACAAUAGCACUUACACGUACACGUGGAUCCGGUGAGAAGCAGGACUAUGAGAACCAGGGUUGCCAGGUUUUCAAAACAAAACCCGCCCAAUUGCUGCUCAAAACGAGCCCGUUAAAAAUCGCGUUCCGGGGGCUAAAAUACACAUUUUUUUGGCGGGGCUCCCCGGUGAAAUUAGCAUCUCAGGUGCUAAAUAUCUCGUUAUUGGUGUGGCUUCAACCCGCGGACAUGAAAAACAACCCGCGGCAACAGUGUUUAAGUAGCCCAAUUCCGCGGGAAAAACGCGGACUUGGCAACACUGAUGAGAACAUGCCGAGACGAGACGAGACCCAAAUCCCGCGAUUUGAUUGGCCGGCCCGUUUCUACAGUAUUGCACUCUCAUUGGUCAAAACAAAUGCCAAUGCAGAGCUCUUUUCCCAGCCUCUGUUGAAAAUAUUGAUGUAUUGUUGGUUUGCUGCUGUAAAUCGAGAUGCACAUCAGAGCUUUUCUUGAUCAACAGGAAAUCAAGGCAUAUUUUUUCCCCUUUUAGAUCCCUGAUGACGACAAUAAAUCGUGUUAAAUGGAAAGAUCACCCAAAAAUGCAUGACUUUAUUUACCUUGUAUUACUUUCUUUCUUCCAUGGGAUUAGCAAAAGGAAAAAUGCCAUUCAGACAUCCCUCCUUUGUCAACACAGGAAGAACUCCACACAGAGACAGUGUUCUCAGAGUUAAAAUGAAUUGACGGUAGACAUUUUAUAUACAGUGGUUCUCACUUGAUGUCAUACAAUUCAAGGAAAUAUUACCUAUAAAUUCUGAUUUACAGAGUUUUUUCUGCUUUAAAGACUUUUUUGUUUUUUUUGUUUUAGAAUGAGAACGCAAAAGGUCACACAGCAUAUGGACAACUUAGUUCCUGAGCAGAAGUCACAUGACAGAUAGUAUUUAACGGUAUAACAGUUCACUUGGUGGACAUCUGAGGUAACUUUUAUUUUCUUUCAGAUUACAAUUGAACAGGAUCUGGAGCUUUUUAGUUUAAAACAUAAAUGAUCAUGAAAAAUUCUUACAAAGAUGCAUCUGGAGCUUUUUAGUUUUAAAAACAUAAAAUGAU